rnacentral:snRNA from 1 species
UUGCUCACUCAGCAGCACACUUAUACUAAAAUUGGACACGCAACAGAAAAGAUUAGCAUGGCCCCUGUGCGGAUGGACACGCCAAAUUUCGUGAAGUGCUUCCAUAUUUU